UUGACCUCNAAUCAGGUAGGACUACCCGCUGAACUUAAG
rnacentral:rRNA from 1 species